GUGAGGAAUAUUGGACAAUGGGCGCAAGCCUGAUCCAGCCAUGCCGCGUGCAGGAAGACGCAUCUAUGGUGUGUAAACUGCUUUUGUACGGGAAGAAACACUCCCUCGUGAGGGAGCUUGACGGUACCGUAAGAAUAAGGAUCGGCUAACUCCGUGCCAGCAGCCGCGGUAAUACGGAGGAUCCAAGCUUUAUCCGGAAUCAUUGGGUUUAAAGGGUCCGUAGGCGGUUUAAUAAGUCAGUGGUGAAAGCCCAUCGCUCAACGAUGGAACGGCCAUUGAUACUGUUAGACUUGAAUUACAAGGAAGUAACUAGAAUAUGUAGUGUAGCGGUGAAAUGCUUAGAUAUUACAUGGAAUACCAAUUGCGAAGGCAGGUUACUACUUGUGGAUUGACGCUGAUGGACGAAAGCGUGGGGAGCGAACAGGAUUAGAAACCCCGGUAGUCC
rnacentral:rRNA from 1 species